rnacentral:rRNA from 1 species
AGUGAACGCUGGCGGUAGGCCUAACACAUGCAAGUCGAACGGCAGCACAGUAAGAUCUUGCUCUUACGGGUGGCGAGUGGCGGACGGGUGAGGAAUACAUCGGAAUCUACUUUUUCGUGGGGGAUAACGUAGGGAAACUUACGCUAAUACCGCAUACGACCUACGGGUGAAAGCAGGGGUUCUUCGGACCUUGCGUGAUAGAAUGAGCCGGUGUCGGAUUAGCUAGUUGGCGGGGUAAAGGCCCACCAAGGCGACGAUCCGUAGCUGGUCUGAGAGGAUGAUCAGCCACACUGGAACUGAGACACGGUCCAGACUCCUACGGGAGGCAGCAGUGGGGAAUAUUGGGCAAUGGGCGCAAGCCUGAUCCAGCCAUACCGCGUGGGUGAAGAAGGCCUUCGGGUUGUAAAGCCCUUUUGUUGGGAAAGAAAAGCAGCAGGUUAAUACCCCGCUGUUCUGACGGUACCCAAAGAAUAAGCACCGGCUAACUUCGUG